UACGUAGGGCGCAAGCGUUGUCCGGAAUUAUUGGGCGUAAAGGAGCUCGUAGGCGGUUUGUCGCGUCUGCUGUGAAAACUCGAGGCUCAACCUCGGGCUUUGCAGUGGGGUACGGGCAGACUAGAGUGCGGUAGGGGUGACUGGAAUUCCUGGUGUAGCGGUGGAAUGCGCAGAUAUCAGGAGGAACACCGGUGGCGAAGGCGGGUCACGUGGGCUGAUACUGACGCUGAUGACGGCGAAAGCCAGGGGAGCGAACGGG
rnacentral:rRNA from 1 species